UACGGAGGGUGCAAGCGUUAUCCGGAUUCACUGGGUUUAAAGGGUGCGUAGGUGGCUUUGUAAGUCAGUGGUGAAAUCUUAGGGCUUAACUCUAAAACUGCCAUUGAUACUGCUUAGCUUGAAUCAAGUCGAGGUGGAUGGAAUAUUACAUGUAGCGGUGAAAUGCUUAGAUAUGUAAUAGAACACCGAUUGCGAAGGCAGUUCACUAGGCUUGAAUUGACACUGAGGCACGAAAGCGUGGGGAUCAAACAGG
rnacentral:rRNA from 1 species